rnacentral:tRNA from 1 species
GCCUAGGUGGCUCAGUUGGUUGAGCGUCUGACUUCAGCUCAGGUCAUGAUCUCACAGUCUGUAGGUUCAAGCCCUGCGUUGGGCU